AAACUUGAGAGUUUGAUCAUGGCUCAGAACGUACGCUGGCGGCACGCCUAACACAUGCAAGUCGAACGAAGUAGCAAUACUUAGUGGCAGACGGGUGAGUAACAUGUAGGUAUCUGCCCUUUGGCCUGGAAUAACACGAGGAAACUUGUGCUAAUACCGGAUAAGUCUUUACGGAGAAAGCUUUAUGCACCAUUGGAUGAGCCUGCACUUGAUUAGUUUGUUGGUGGGGUAAUGGCCUACCAAGACUGUGAUCAAUAGCUGAUUUGAGAGGAUGAUCAGCCACAUUGGGACUGAGACACGGCCCAAACUCCUACGGGAGGCAGCAGUGGGGAAUCUUGCACAAUGGAGGAAACUCUGAUGCAGCGAUGCCGCGUGAGUGAAGAAGGCCUUUGGGUUGUAAAGCUCUUUCGUCGGGGAAGAAAAUGACUGUACCCGAAUAAGAAGGUCCGGCUAACUUCGUGCCAGCAGCCGCGGUAAUACGAAGGGACCUAGCGUAGUUCGGAAUUACUGGGCUUAAAGAGUUCGUAGGUGGUUGAAAAAGUUAGUGGUGAAAUCCCAGAGCUUAACUCUGGAACUGCCAUUAAAACUUUUCAGCUAGAGUAUGAUAGAGGAAAGCAGAAUUUCUAGUGUAGAGGUGAAAUUCGUAGAUAUUAGAAAGAAUACCAAUUGCGAAGGCAGCUUUCUGGAUCAUUACUGACACUGAGGAACGAAAGCAUGGGUAGCGAAGAGGAUUAGAUACCCUCGUAGUCCAUGCCGUAAACGAUGUGUGUUAGACGUUGGAAAUUUAUUUUCAGUGUCGCAGGGAAACCGAUAAACACACCGCCUGGGGAGUACGACCGCAAGGUUAAAACUCAAAUGAAUUGACGGGGACCCGCACAAGUAGUGGAGCAUGUGGUUUAAUUCGAAGAUACGCGCAGAACCUUACCAACACUUGACAUGUUCGUCGCGACUCUAAGAGAUUAGAGUCUUCGGUUCGGCCGGACGAAACACAGGUGCUGCAUGGCUGUCGUCAGCUCGUGUCGUGAGAUGUUGGGUUAAGUCCCGCAACGAGCGCAACCCUCACUUUUAGUUGCCAUCAUUAAGUUGGGCACUCUGAAAGAACUGCCAGUGAUAAGCUGGAGGAAGGUGGGGAUGACGUCAAGUCCUCAUGGCCCUUACGUGUUGGGCUACACACGUGCUACAAUGGUAUCUACAACAGGAAGCGAAACUGCGAGGUUGAGCAAAUCCCUAAAAGAUACCUCAGUUCGGAUUGCACUCUGCAACUCGAGUGCAUGAAGCUGGAAUUACUAGUAAUCGUGGAUCAGCGUGCCACGGUGAAUGCGUUCCCGGGUCUUGUACACACCGCCCGUCACACCAUGGGAGUUGGUUCUACCUUAAGGCAAGGUUUAAAACCCUUGACCACGGUAUAGUCAGCGACUGGGGUGAAGUCGUAACAAGGUAGCCGUAGGGGAACCUGCGGCUGGAUUACCUCCUUU
rnacentral:rRNA from 1 species